rnacentral:tRNA from 1 species
AGAAACUUAGGUUAGCUAUAGACCAAGAGCCUUCAAAGCCCUAAGCAAGUGUAAUACACUUAGUUUCUG